AGAGUUUGAUCCUGGCUCAGAUUGAACGCUGGCGGCAUGCUUUACACAUGCAAGUCGGACGGCAGCACAGAGAAGCUUGCUUCUUGGGUGGCGAGUGGCGAACGGGUGAGUAACAUAUCGGAACGUACCGAGCAGUGGGGGAUAACUAAUCGAAAGAUUAGCUAAUACCGCAUAUAUUCUGAGGAAGAAAGCAGGGGACCAUUUGGCCUUGCGCUGUUUGAGCGGCCGAUAUCUGAUUAGCUAGUUGGUGGGGUAAAGGCCUACCAAGGCGACGAUCAGUAGCGGGUCUGAGAGGAUGAUCCGCCACACUGGGACUGAGACACGGCCCAGACUCCUACGGGAGGCAGCAGUGGGGAAUUUUGGACAAUGGGCGCAAGCCUGAUCCAGCCAUGCCGCGUGUCUGAAGAAGGCCUUCGGGUUGUAAAGGACUUUUGUCAGGGAAGAAAAGGGCGGGGUUAAUACCCCUGUCUGAUGACGGUACCUGAAGAAUAAGCACCGGCUAACUACGUGCCAGCAGCCGCGGU
rnacentral:rRNA from 1 species